GCACCCGUAGCUCAAUAGGACAGAGCUCCAGAUUGCUACUCCGGGGGUUGCAGGUUCGAAUCCUGCCGGGUGCA
rnacentral:tRNA from 1 species